UACGUAGGGUGCAAGCGUUGUCCGGAAUUAUUGGGCGUAAAGAGCGUGUAGGCGGCCAGGUAGGUCUGCUGUGAAAACUCGAGGCUUAACCUCGAGCUGUCGGCGGAAACCAUCUGGCUAGAGUCCGGAAGAGGAGGAUGGAAUUCCCGGUGUAGCGGUGAAAUGCGCAGAUAUCGGGAAGAACACCCGUGGCGAAGGCGGUUCUCUGGGACGGUACUGACGCUGAGACGCGAAAGCGUGGGGAGCGAACAGG
rnacentral:rRNA from 1 species